CACGUAGUUAGCCGGUGCUUAUUCAUAAGUUACCGUCAUAUUCUUCGCUUAUAAAAGCAGUUUACGACCCGAGGGCCUUCAUCCUGCACGCGGCGUUGCUCCAUCAGGCUUUCGCCCAUUGUGGAAGAUUCCUCACUGCUGCCUCCCGUAGGAGUCUGGACCGUGUCUCAGUUCCAGUCUGGCUGGUCAUCCUCUCAGACCAGCUAACGAUCGUAGACUUGGUGAGCCAUUACCUCACCAACAAUCUAAUCGUACGCAGGCCACUCCCAAAGCGGAUAAAUCCUUUAAUCCGAAGAUCAUAUGCGGUAUUAGACUCCAUUUCUGGAGCUUAUCCCUCACUUUGGGGCAUGUUCCCACGUGUUACUCAGCCGUUCGCCGCUCGUCAGCAGGUAAUAAAUUACCCCUGUUACCGCUCGACUUGCAUGUGUUAGGCACGCCGCCAGCAUUCAUCCUGAGCCAGGAUCAAACUCU
rnacentral:rRNA from 1 species